rnacentral:rRNA from 1 species
UGAAGCUGGAAUCGCUAGUAAUCGCGGAUCAGAAUGCCGCGGUGAAUACGUUCCCGGGUCUUGUACACACCGCCCGUCACACCAUGGGAGUCGGGAAUGCCCGAAGCCGGUGGCCCGAUCGAGAGAAGGGAGCCGUCGAAGGCAGGCCGGAUGACUGGGGUGAAGUCGUAACAAGGUAUC